UACGGGGGGGCGAAGCGUUGUUCGGAAUUACUGGGCGUAAAGGGCGCGUAGGCGGCCUGCUAAGUCGGACGUGAAAUCCCUCGGCUCAACCGAGGAACUGCGUCCGAUACUGGUGGGCUUGAAUCCGGGAGAGGGAUGUGGAAUUCCAGGUGUAGCGGUGAAAUGCGUAGAUAUCUGGAGGAACACCGGUGGCGAAGGCGGCAUCCUGGACCGGUAUUGACGCUGAGGCGCGAAAGCUAGGGGAGCAAACAGG
rnacentral:rRNA from 1 species